AAGUAUUGCAAUUCCUGCUUUACUGUCUUGUCCAUUGACAUGAAAUAUCUUUUCCCAUCCCCUAGCUUUCAAUCUAUAUGUGUCCUUUUCCCUAAGGUGAGUUUCUUGUAGACAGCAGAUUUUAGGUUUUUGCUUUUUUAUCCAAACUGCCACUCUGUGUCUUUUGAUUGGAGCCUUUAGUCCAUUGACAUUUAAGGUGAUUAUGGACAGAUAUGUAUCUAUUGCUAUUUUAAACCUUGCUUUCCAGUUGAUUCUGUUUUUCUUCUUUUCUUUUUUUGGUUGGAUGAUUUCCAUUUCUUUUAUGCUGGAAUACUUUUCUUUUCAGUUUUCAUGAAUGUAAUUUUUGGCCCUGAUUUGUGGUUGCUCUGUUUUUUAAGUAAGUUAACCCUUUCCUAUAUGCCUGAUAGUCAUAUAAGCUCAAACACAUCAUUAAAAUAAAAAAAUCUAUAUUUUCUUACUUUCCUUCCCCACAUUGUAUGAUUUUGAUGUCUUUUUUUUUUAGCAUCUUCAUGUUUAGAUCUGUAUGCUGACUUAUUUGAGUGACUGCUUUCCAAUUGUGCUUUCCUCCAUCUUAAUUCACCUUUUUCUGUUUUUUUCUUUCUCUCUUUUUUAAUUUACUGAAGCCCUUUCAGUAUUUCUUUUAGAAUGGGUUUAUUAUUGUUGUACUCUUUUAGCUUUUGUUUGUUGGAUAAAUUAUUUAUUUCCCCUUCUAUUUUAAAUGAUAUUCUCGCUGGAUAGAGUAUUCUAGGUUGUAAUUUUUUUUCCUUUCAGCACUUUAAAUAUAUCUUACCUCUCCCUUCUGGCCUGUAGUGUUUCUAUAGAGAAGUCAGCUGAGAGCCUUAUUGGGGCUCCCUUAUAAUAAAUGCUUUGCAUUUCUCUUGCUGCCUUUUGAAUCCUCUCUUUAACUUUUGCCAUUUUUAUUAUAGUAUGUCUUGGUGUGGGCCUCUUUGGGUUCAGCUUGUUUGGGGCCCUCUGCUCUUCCUGUAUCUUAAUAUCAAUAUGCUUUAGAUUUAGGAAGUUUUCAGCCAUAAUUUCUUCAAAUAUAUUUUCAAUACCCUUUUCUUUUUCUUUUCCUUCUGGAAUUCCUAUGCAUAGAUUGGCUCACUUUAUAUUAUUCCAUAGGUCUCUUAUAUUGCUUUCAUAUUUUUUCAUUUGGUUUUCUGUCUGCUGUCCUGGUUGCGUGAUUAACAUUGUUCUAUCUUCAGUGUCACCAGUUCAUUCCUCUGCAGUAUUCAUUGUGGUCUUUAUUGCCUUAAGCUCAGUUUGUAUCUCUGAAAAUGAAUUUUGUAGUUUUUCUUGGCUCCUUAUAUUUUCUAGUUACUUUCUGAGGGAAUCUGCAUUACUGUUGAUAUCUUCAUAUCUCUUAAUUCUUUGAUAUUCACCCUUAAUUCCUUCAGUAUUUUCAAUACCUCCCUUUUGAACUCAAUAUCAGUCAGACUGCAGGGGUCUGUUUCAAUGUUGACUGCUUAAGGUGAAUUCUUCUGUUCCUCUAACUGGAAAUUGUUUCUGUGCUUCUUCAUCUUGCUUGUGUUUUUCUUUUUCUUUGAGUUUGGGGAAGCCAAACCAUAGUCUUGUAUGGCUACUUCUAUGCAGGUAUAUCCCUUUGUAUUUUUGGGGGGUUACUAUUUAUUUUUGGUGUGGGAAUUUGAAUAUUUGCUGUCUCUUUCUUUGGUGUGAGCAGGUUGUUGUUCCCAGGAUGCUCAGUGUGUUUUCAGGGAGAGGAAAGCAAUGGGUAGGGUCAGCAGUCAGUGCCUGAUCAUUGGGCUCUCAAAAGCAGCAAGGACCUGCAGGAAGGUGGGACAUGCUACUCACAGUUGUAGGGCCAUGGGAAUUGGUAAUAAUCUCUAGGCAGAUCUACAAGGUGACCAGAAUAUUUGGCAAAAGCAGCAGCAGGGUGUGUGAGUUCCCAGGGGUGUGAGAGCAAGAACAGCUUCUGUUCGAUUGCAAUGCCCUCCUCUGAGGUGAUUUGAACCAUAGGUGGUGCCUGUUCAGGGAAAUCUAGUGGGUAUGGGUCAUGACCAUCUCUAGAGCCAAUGAUAACUGUGGUGGUUUUCCCCCACUACCUAUAGACCAGGCAUGAAGCAACCUGUCUCCCUUAGCCCAUAUGAGGUACUGUAUAGGGUGCUCCUAGUUGCAGGAUCCUGGGAAGUGAUGGAGAUCAGGCAUGUGGAUAUUGCCUGGUAUGUUUGGCAGUGGCAGCAGCAGGGCGGGUGUGUUCCCAGGGGUUUCAGAGCACCAAUAGGUGGUGUUUGGUAACAAUGCCUUCUUCUAUGGUGCACUUGAGGUGAAAGGGGCUGCAAGGGGUGUCUGUUCGCAGACCCCUAGUGGUGGCAAGCCAUGCCGCCUCUGGAGCCAGAGAUAACUGCAAUGGUUUGCUACCACCUCCUAUAGACCAUGCCAGAAGCACCUCAUCCUGCUUAGCCCACAUAGGAGUUACUGCACAAGCUGCUCCUAGUUGCAGGUUCCUGGGAAGGACAGUGAUCAAUCAUCUGGGCACUGCCCAGAUUGUUUGGAUGUGGCAGAAGCAGGGUGGGUGUGCUUCCAGUGGAGCGAGAUUGGCAGCAGGUGGUGUUCCAUCGCAAUGUCCUUCCCUGUAGUGCUCUCUGAGGUGGUUGGGGCUGCAAGUGAUUUUUGUUCAGGUACUCCCAGUAGCAGUGGGCCAUGCCCACCUCUGGAAUCAGAGAUAACUGGGGCAGUUUGCCCCCACCCCUUGCAGACCACACAAGAAGCACCCUAUUCCACUUAGCCCACGCACUGUGUACUGCACCAGCUGCUCCUAGUUGAGAGUGUUGUGAAAGGAGAGUAAACAAAUGUCUGGGUGCUGCCCAGAGUAUUUGGCCAUGGCAGCUGUGGGACAGGUGUGUUCACAACAGAGCGAGAGCAACAGUGUAUUGUGCUUGGUUGUAGUUUCCUUGUUUUUUUCUUUUUUGCCAACCCCUAUGGUGACUGGGGUCACAGGUGAAGCCCAUCCACAGGUCCCCAAUUGUGGCAAGCCAUGCCUCCCUCUGGCCUCUGAGACAGCUGCUGCAGUCUGUCCCUGCCACCUGUAGAUAGUGCAAGAGGCACCACAUCACAUUUACCCCCCUGAUGUUCUUAGCCACGCAAGAGGUGCGUGGCCACCUGUAGGCUGCACAAGGAGUGCCCAAUCUCCCCUAAAUGAGCAAGAAUCUUCUCAUUGCCCUUAGCUUGCACCAGAGCCACCCUGCCCUCUGAGAGCCCAUGGGCAUGCGCACACUCCAGGGCAGGGAGUUUCCUAUGGCUUCCGUGCCUCCUCCUCUCACCAUCCCUAACAAUGGUGUCUUGCCUCUCCUGUGGGUCCAGACCUUCUCCCAGGUUCCCUUUGCUGUGGUGUUCCCCUCAGUCUGUGGUGUACCACUCCCCCGCCAGUGGCUCACUUUUCCUUAAACCCUCAUGCUGUCCCCACACCACCAACCCCAGGCCUCUUCCUGGAACUGACCUCUGGAGCCUGAGUCUCAGUGCCCAGCCCCCGCCCAGGUGUCUCAGGCUGUGGUGUCCAGUGUGGUAGUUCAGAUGAUCUGUGCAGCUCUCACUCUGCUUUGCUGUUUUCAGUCCAACUGCUGCACUUUUCGCGGAGACUUUGAGGUCCUGCCGACUUGGCUGAUCUUUCCAUCAGUUAGGUGGCUUCCCAGGAUGUGGGUUCCUUUUCUUCUUCACUAUUCCUUCUUGGGAAUAUUAGUCCCAACCUGAUUCCUUUUCUCUCUCUCUUUUUUCCUUUUGUUCUGCUCAGUUAUGUCAAGUUUCUUGCCCUUUUUAGAGGUUUAAGUUCUGCCAGCAUUCAGUUGAUGUUCUGUGUGAGUCAUUUUAUAUAGAGAUUUUUUUUUUUUUUUUUUUUUUUUUUUUUAGCUAUUUCUUGGGCCGCUCCCACGGCAUAUGGAGGUUCCCAGGCUAGGGGUCUAAUCGGAGCUAUAGCCACCGGCCUACGCCAGAGCCACAGCAACGCGGGAUCCGAGCUGCAUCUGCAACCUACACCACAGCUCACGGCAACGCCGGAUCGUUAACCCACUAAGCAAGGGCAGGGACCGAACCCGUGACCUCAUGGUUCCUAGUCGGAUUCGUUAACCACUGCGCCACGACGGAACUCCAGAUGUGGUUUUUUUGAUGUGUUUGUGGGAGAAGGUGAACACAACCACUUACUCCUCCGCCAUCUUGCUCCGCCCCCUCUUUUUAAAGUUAUAGUAGAUUUGCAGUGUUUCGUCAAUCUCUGUUGUACAGCAAAGUGACCCAAUCACAAACAAUUCUCUCUGCUAUACAGUAGGACCCCAUUGCCCAUCCAUUUCAAACGUAAGAGUUUUCAUGUCCCAAACCCAAACUCCUCAUCCAUCCCCCUUCCUCCACCUUCACCUCAGCAACCAGAAGUCUGCUCUCUAUUUUUGUGAUCUGUUUCUGUUUUGUAGAUAGAAUCAUCUGUGUCAUAUAUUAGAUUCCACAAAUAAGUGAUAUCACAUCGCAUUUGUCUUUCUCUGUCUGACUUACUUUAUGUAGUAUGAGAAUCUCUAGUUCCAUCCAUGUCACUGCAAAUGCAUUCUUUUGUCUUUUUUUUGGCUGAGUAGUAUACUAUUAUAUAUAUGUAUUACAUCUUCAUAAUCCAUUUUUGUUGAUGGACAUUUACAUUAUUUCCAUGUCUUGUCUAUUGUGAAUAGCAUUGCAAUGAACAUAUGGGCCCAUGUAUCUUUUUGAAUUAAUGGUUUGUCCUGAUAUAUGCCCAAGAGUGGGAUUACUGGGUCAUUCUAUAUUUAGUUCUCUGAGAUGCCUCCAUACAGUUUUCCAUAGUGGUUGCACCAAUUAAAGUUCCCAUUAACAGUAAAGGAGAGUAGUCUUUUCUCCACACCCUCUCCAGAAUUUGUUAUUUGUUGUUUUGUGAAGGAUGACCAUUCUGACCUGUGUGAGGUGGUACCUCAUAGUAGUUUUGAUUUUCAUUUCUCUAAUAAUUAGUGAUGUUGAUCAUUUUUUCAUGUGCCUUUUUGCCAUCCAUAUGUCUUCUUCUGAGAAAUGUCUGUUUAUGUCUUCUGACCAUGUUUUGAUGGGAUUUUGUUGUUGUUGUUGAGUUGCAUGAGUUGUUUAUAUAUUUGGAGAUUAGGCCCUUGUCUGUUGCAUCAUUUGCAAAGAUUUUCUCCCAUUCUGUGGGUUAUCUUUUCAUUUUUUAAUGGUUUUAUUUGCUGUGCAAAAUCUUUUGAGCUUAAUUAGGUCUCUUUGGCUUAUUUUUGUUUUUACUGACCUUAUUCUAGGUCUUCUUCUAGAUCAAAGAAGAUGUUGCUAUGAUUUAUGUAGAAGAAUGUUCUGUCUAUAUUUUCCCCUAGGAGUUUUAUAGUAUCUGGCCUUAUAUUUAGAUCUUUAAUCCAUUUUGAGUUUAUUUUUAUGUAUGGUGUUAGAGAGUGUUCUAAUUUUAUUCUUUUACAAGUAGCUUUCUAGUUUUCCCAGCACCACUUAUUAAAGAGACUAUAUUUCUUCCAGUGUAUGUUCUUACCUCCUUUGUCAUAGAUUAGUUGACUUGGAUUUAUUUCUCUGGGCUUUCUAUCCUGUUCCAUUGAUCCAUAUUUCUGUUUUUGUGCCAGUACCAUAUUGUUUUGAUAGAUAUAGCUUUGUAGUGUUGUCUGAAAUCAGGGAACCUGAUUCUUCCAUUUCUGUUUUCCUUUUUCAAUAUUGCUUUGUCUAUUUGGAGUCUUUUGUGUUUCCAUACAGAUUUUAAAAUAUUUUAUUCUGGGUCUAUGAGAAAUACUAUUGGUAAUUUGCCAGGGAUUGCAUUGCAUUUGUAGAUUGCCUGGGUAGUAUAGUCAUUUUGACAAUAUUGAUUCUUCCAGCCCAAGAGCAUGGUAUGUCUUUCCAUCUGUUUGAAUCAACUUGAAUUUCUUAUUAAUGUAUAAGGGUAAAUCUGAAGAUUUAUUGUGAAAAUGGGAGCACUAAUAGCUCAGUACAAAUAAAUGCCUUUCUUUUUAGCAGCUUUGAAAAAUAUGUGUACAGAGGAAUCACUUACAUCCAGAAGAGUUACAGUAGAUGUAAAGUCGGUGUCCAUGGGACAUUUUCUCUUCUCCAGUAUUUCAGUCAGGUAAUAUGUCAAUUAUUUCACACACAAAUUUCUGUAAGAAUAGUAAAAUGUAGCAUGACAUCUUUUAUUUGUGUUUCCAAAGGUUUUCCUAUAUGCUAUAGUUGUCUUCUCAAAAUUGGACAAAUUACUGUUUCUAUAAGGUGGUCUUAUAAGUGCAUUUUGAUCUUUGUUUCCUGUUAAUCUAAGUUUUAGAUUGACCUACUAGUAAAGGAAAUUCUGAAAUAUUGCAGUGGAGUUCCUGUCAUGGCACAGUGGUUAACAAAUCCGACUAGGAACCAUGAGGUUGCAGUUUUGAUCCCUGCCCUUGCUCAGUGGGUUAAGGAUCUGGUGUUGCUGUGAGCUGUGGUGUAGGUUGCAGACAUGGUGCGGAUCCUGCAUUGCUAUGGCUCUGGCACAGGCUGGCAGUUACAGCUCCGAUUUGACCCCUACCCUGGGAACCUCCAUAUGUCGUGGAAGUGGCCCUAGAAAUG
rnacentral:lncRNA from 1 species